CAGCAGUCGCCGCGGUAAUACAGAGGGUGCGAGCGUUAAUCGGAUUUACUGGGAGUAAAGCGUGCGUAGGCGGCUUUUUAAGUCGGAUGUGAAAUCCCUGAGCUUAACUUAGGAAUUGCAUUCGAUACUGGGAAGCUAGAGUAUGGGAGAGGAUGGUAGAAUUCCAGGUGUAGCGGUGAAAUGCGUAGAGAUCUGGAGGAAUACCGAUGGCGAAGGCAGCCAUCUGGCCUAAUACUGACGCUGAGGUACGAAAGCAUGGGGAGCAAACAGGAUUAGAUACCCGGGUAGUCCCUGUCUCUUAUAC
rnacentral:rRNA from 1 species